CAGAGGGUGCAAACGUUGCUCGGAAUUACUGGGCGUAAAGCGCACGUAGGCGGUUCUACAAGUCGGAUGUGAAAUCCCCAGGCUCAACUUGGGAAGUGCAUUCGAAACUGUAGGUCUUGAAUAUGGAAGAGGGUCGCGGAAUUCCCGGUGUUGAGGUGAAAUUCGUAGAUAUCGGGAGGAACACCAGUGGCGAAGGCGGCGACCUGGGCCAAUGUUGACGCUGAGGUGCGAAAGCGUGGGGAGCAAACAGGA
rnacentral:rRNA from 1 species